CUUUAUGAUUGGUGCUUAGUAUCAUGACGUCACGCUACGAUACUUGCGUCGUAUCCAUAUGAAACGUCAUGGAGCAUAGGCCGUAAAACCCGAAACUCUGUAGAAUGUCGAGCAUACGAGUUCAAAACUCGAAAUUGAUUUGGUGUGGUAGCAGUGAAACGAAGAGCUAACGUAGAGUUAGAGAAAAUAUAUUUUAAGACCACUUAUUUGUCUCUCUCUUUUCACCUCUGUAAUGCCAUAAAGUCAACCAGUAUCAAAAUUCUGUAAAUUAUAAUACUGACACAUAAGACAUAUUAGUAUUACGACAGUUUCUGUGCGUGGCGCAGUUACUCCAAGACAUCGAACACGCACGUCGGAGAAGGUUGAGCUUUCCCGCGGAGGAAUAUAAUCUUGCGUGGUUGGUACGCUGGUGGUAUAAGAAACACGAAGUAAGAAGAAAUAACUUUCACUGAGAUAUUCUACUAAAAAAAGAAAAGAACUGGAAUGGAUAAAGUGUUUUCAGAAGAAUCUACUGAUAAAGGAGCAGUAAGACGAACUACGGGCACAGUGGCGACAUACAAAACCUACGUAAAAAAGCGAGUUAUUCUUAAAGAACGCAGGGACAAAGAAAGCAGCAGAAAAUCUACGAAUACCGUCGUCUUCGAUCAAUGGUUCCAUCUCUUUCCAGAAAGCCUAAAGUUUCCAAGAUAACAGUUAUAGAGGAAGCUAUUCGUUACAUAGACCAAUUGCACAACGCCCUGUUAACGAGAUUAAAGACGCGUGGACUGCCAAGGUGUAUGCAAGAUAUGAACAUCGAUGUUAACAGCUUAAGUCACAGUGAGAUUAAAAAUCUGGUGUGUCAGAUGAUGUCCAACAGUCCUUCACCUCCGUCAACGUCACAGAGACCAGUACCAGUGCUUUAUACAGAUAGCAUCCAAGAGAGAAACCGUGUAAUCCCAUCUUAUAUGAUGCGGAAACAAAGGAAGUGACGUCAACCUGGUCAUCUAGUCAACUGCAAUGUAGAGUGAGCUGCACUGUGUAAAACCUCGGCCAUUCCUUUGAAUGGGAGUUGUGGUGACUUUUGACCUUUUCGACCAACGAAUGUGAUCUCAUAAAUCUGUGAUGGUGUAAUCCUUAUCACGAAAUUAAGGCUGAGCUAAUUCGGGUUUCAUUGGU